GGGCUUAUAGCUCAGCGGACAGAGCAACUGGCUUCGAACCAGUGUUGUCCCAGGUUCGAAUCCUGGUAGGCCCUCCA
rnacentral:tRNA from 1 species